GAUAAGGUUAAGUGAAUAAGGGCGCACGGUGGAUGCCUUGGCACUAGGAGCCGAUGAAGGACGGGACUAACACCGAUAUGCUUUGGGGAGCUGUAAGUAAGCUAUGAUCCAGAGAUUUCCGAAUGGGGGAACCCAAUAUCUUUUAUAGGAUAUUACUUUUCAGUGAAUACAUAGCUGAUUAGAGGUAAACGCAGAGAACUGAAACAUCUUAGUACCUGCAGGAAGAGAAAGAAAAUUCGAUUCCCUGAGUAGCGGCGAGCGAAACGGGAAGAGCCCAAACCAACAAGCUUGCUUGUUGGGGUUGUAGGACU
rnacentral:rRNA from 1 species